GACAGAGGAGCCAAGCGUUGUCCGGAAUAACUGGGCGUAAAGCGCACGCAGGCGGUGCGGUGCGUGGGGUGUGAAACUGGCGGCUUAACUGCCCAGAGGCCACCUCAUACGGCCGCACUCGAGCUCUGCAGAGGUCCAUGGAAUUGCCGGUGUAGUGGUGAAAUGCGUAGAGAGUCGGCAGGAACACCCAGGGGGAAACCAGUGGACUGGGCAGCAGCUGACGCUGAUGUGCGAAAGCGUGGGGAGCGAACCGG
rnacentral:rRNA from 1 species